rnacentral:piRNA from 1 species
UCUUACACGGAAGGUGCGCAGAUAUCUUG